UAUAUUUUUUAUAAUCAGACUGCAUUGUUCUACAAAGAUAUUCUAACAUUUUUUCUGUAAGAUUUUUAAGAAAUAGUGACAAAUAGUCAGCCUAUCUGCACUAAUGUACUUUGAUUGCUUCUUUGAAAGCCCAAUUUAAAAUACCAAGAAAGGAAGUAAAAAACAUGUAUACUUUUGUCAUUCCAUAUAAAGAUAAUAUCGUACAAGUACAGACACAAGUUUUUAAACUGCGCCACUUGAUAUUUUGGGCAUAAGCAGUGCGGAUCGUUUGGCGAUGAAUCGGUUAGCUGUUCUUGCCAUUGAUUUUGGGACAACUUACUCGGGAUGGGCGUAUUCAUACAGGCAUGAGUAUGAACGAGAUCCCCUCAAAAUAUCAGCAAAGAUCUUUAAGGGAAAUACUUUAUCACUUAAAGUUCCAACAUGCAUUCUGAUCAAAUCUGACGGAAAAACAACAGACUGACUGUUUUGGUUGUGAGGCUGAAGAUAAAUAUGCAGAAAUAUGUGAAGAGAAUGAUCAACAUCAAUGGUUUUUCUUUAAAAGAUUUAAAAUGAUGCUUUUUAAAGAUGAGGGUAUGACAAGACAGGAUACAAUUGAAGAUGAAACUGGUAAGAAACUACCGGCAAUACAGGUUUUCUCGUUAUCUAUUGAGUACUUGGUGAAGGAUGUUCUUGAUAAUCUAAACAAUCAUGUUGACUCUCGUAUCGAUGUCUCUGAUAUACAAUGGGUUCUUACUGUUCCUGCAAUAUGGAACGAUGCAGCUAAACAGUUUAU